UGGCUUUUGCUCAUCGUCUAUAUUUUAGAUCUAAGAUACCUUAAUACUCGUGAAAAAAGAAGGAAAGUUUGAUAGCCGAAAAUAGAAAAAAAAAUUACGUAAGCAACGUAAGUUAAUUAAGCAGUAUUUACUGUCAAAGACCAAAAGCUGAUUAAGGAGACUUUUAAAAAUAUUUCCAAUACGCUUGAUUGCGAAGAUAGCUUCACACCUGGAGGGUCAUCUGAUAAGGCAGAUUUUCUUUAUCGUUGGUCAGGCUCCUGAACAGAAUUAAAUUGUACGCUGCACAAAGAAUGUAAAGGGCUUUUAACUGCUUUUGACGCGUUGGAGCCUGGAGACCUAUGUAAAUAUGUUACGCUAAUGAUGGCAGCUUCAUCGUAACCGCGACUUCUGCACUUGAUCAAAUCAAAGUCCUUCUUAUGUCAACUUUGGAUACGUCUCGAGUGGAUACAUAACGCUUCGACACCGUUCAUUUUGAUGCAAGCACGUUUCGACGCUGAACAUUCCAAGGCCAGAGAUGGAUUUUACUAACAUUUCUUUUCAAAUUGUAUCUCUUAUGUAAGUUCAUAUCUUUUUGAAGACUGCUACCAUAAAACUGUAAACAAAA